UACAGAGGUCUCAAGCGUUGUUCGGAUUCAUUGGGCGUAAAGGGUGCGUAGGUGGCGCGCUAAGUCAGAUGUGAAAUUUCGGAGCUUAACUCCGAAACUGCAUUUGAUACUGGCGUGCUUGAGGACUGGAGAGGAGACUGGAAUUCACGGUGUAGCAGUGAAAUGCGUAGAUAUCGUGAGGAAGACCAGUGGCGAAGGCGGGUCGUCUGGACAGUUCCUGACACUGAGGCAGCGAA
rnacentral:rRNA from 1 species